UACAGAGGGGGCGAGCGUUUAUUCGGAAUUAUUGGGCGUAAAGGGCGCGUAGGCGGCCUUUCAAGUGACGGGUGAAAUCCCUCGGCUUAACCGAGGAACUGCCUGUCAGACUGGAAGGCUUGAGACCGGGAGAGGUGAGUGGAAUUCCCAGUGUAGCGGUGAAAUGCGUAGAUAUUGGGAGGAACACCAGUGGCGAAGGCGGACUCACUGGACCGGCAUUGACGCUGAGGAGCGAAAGCUAGGGGAGCAAACGGGG
rnacentral:rRNA from 1 species